CCAAUCUCUCCCAAUAAACGUGUGCAGAAGGAUCCUGUUGCAGCGUCGUUCUUCCUGGCCAGUCGAGCGUGCACAAGACUCAUCCCUUUCAUCCUCCAUGGUCUACAAGAGGAUGUCUCCCCACCAACCCUGCUAGGCCUCCCUACUUCCUGGGGCCUCAAGUAUCUUGAGGGAGUUCGUGGGGACUGUGUACCAAAUCCAGAUGUUUCAUCACUGAACUAUGCUUUCAGUCUGCUAAGCAUAACUGUAAGCAUUGGAAAUUGUGACAAUAAAAUUAAAAAGAGAAAGAAAAGAAAAGAAAAAGAAUUCUGAAAUGCAAUAAAAGAAAUCCGAGCUGCUUUGGUACUCCUGGUCCAUGCAAGUACCUAUAUUGAAACAGCAAUUACUGAGCAAAAGAUGAGAUUCAAAUACCUUAAAACAUAGCCCUAUAUUUU
rnacentral:lncRNA from 1 species